AUCCAGGGCCAUACUACCCUGAAUGCACCCAAUCUCAUCUGAUCUUAGAAGCUAAGCAGGAUUGGACUGGGUUACUACUUGGGUGGGAGAAAUCAAAAGAAAGCCAGAGCUGUAAUAG
rfam:Sus scrofa breed Duroc isolate TJ Tabasco Contig556_1, whole genome shotgun sequence.